GAGAGAGAUAGAGUGGAGGUGUGGAUUGGAGGAAGCCUAGCCUGUCGGUGUCUCCUCUCCGGUUUGUACCUACGGGUUCAAGUAUUUUUUUUCUCUUUUUUUUUCUCUUUUUUUAGAGCACUCAUCUCUUGAAAUAAUGUAGCAAGUGGUAGUAACUAAGAUAACUUGAGCAUUUAUUUCACAGGGGAAAACAGAAAUGUUUUUGGCUAUUCUCUCCUGGAUUAGGAGUAGAAUAUUUAUGGGUGGUUCUAGAGAUGGAAAUGGAUAUAUAUAUGUGGAUGGUACUUCUGGAGUAGAAGUAGCAUGUGUGAGUGAACGUGCAAGUGAAUCUUGAUUUAACCACAUGACAAGCUCCUAAGGGUCUACACAGCUUGACCAUACUCAAUGCUCAUAAGCAGUAAAAAGUAAAUGUGUGGUUCAUAGUCUAACAAGCAUGUAUAUAUGGCUGUGGUAGGAAUUUAAACUCUCAUCAUACAGGAACUCAUCAUGCAACAUUUUAAAGAUUUUCAAAGAUAAAAUUCUCCAGAAUUCUAGCAUCUCUAGGAACAGAUAAACAGCAGCUCAACCUUCCCAUAUCGUAUCCGUUAACGACUUAGACUUUAGAUCAAGUACUCUCCCCACAAGUUCAGGUUUAGAGCAAAUCUUAAUUAAUAACAGUCAUGCCUAAACUUAAGAGAGAUUUCAAUUUUUAGAACUAGUCAUGGCAGAGCAACUAUUCAUCAUUUCCAUGUGAAAGCUUAUCAUGAGGGUUCAUAGCAAACUUUAUUUAUUUAUUUAUUUAUUUAUCAAACUAAGCAAAGAUAUAUAUAAGCAUAAAAUCUUUAUUUGGGUUUUUAUGAUUAUGCAUCUUUUUAUUAUUUGAGUAAAAUAUAAACGUGAGUAGAAUACUUAGCUGGAUAAAUGGGGGUGCUCUCCCCCAAGCUGGAUUUUGACAUAAUUCCUUUUGAUGUAGCUAGCAGAUGGCGGAGGUGUAUUUGAAUGUCGGUAGCACUCUGACAGCGAUUAGGAUGUCCUCCGUCUGCUAGUCUUCUUUGAUCCUUGAAUUCUAUGGAGCUCAAAUAGACAACAAAGCUUUGUGGAACUGGUUAAGUGUUAGUAUAAAUAUCUAGCCUUUAUCAUGUUGAGCCUCCUCAAUAAAUGUUACUCUCUUUGGUAGGAUCAUAAAUCUAUUUUUAUAAUUUUAUUUUUAUAGGACAGGAAUAUAUUUAUUUUAUUUUUAUGCCACCACAGUGAAUGUACUUAUGGGUUUUAUGCCAUGAGCAUACUCACAUGGGGCUUACUUAAUAUUUUUAUUUUCUUUUCAAGAUGAUAUGAACCUGAUUAACUAAAAUAAUUGAAAGAAAAAAGAUAACUACCAAGUUUACCUCUUGGCAAGGCGUUCGGUGUUUUUACGUCCUCCGAACGGGACUCUCCGUUUUCUCAAUCAUCCUGGAAUUCGCUGGAUAGCGUAGUCGGUGGUUCUGGCGGUGCCUGCUCUUCGUGUAUAACUAUCUUCUCUCUCCACACCUGCCUUGGUGCUACGGUCUCCUCAGGACAGUUCUGUUCAAGUUGUAUGUCUUCAGACCUUACUACUUCUCCUUCGUAGUCUGCCCAUCCAUCCUUGAUGAUUUGCCUCCUCUGGUUGCGGUUACGUCGUCUUCUUCUUGUCCUGACCUGCUUAGGGUCUUCAACUAUAUAGUUAAGGUCAGUAAAAUAGCGGCGUACCUUCUCAGAGGGGAAGUGCAUGUGGACUUCUCUGGUUCCAAUGUAGAUGAUUGCUUUAACGGUGCUGAGGAACGGUCUUCCAAGGAUGACGGGUGGAUUAUAUUCGUCUUCUCCCAUGUCAAUAACCUUCAAAUCAUCUGGAGCUGAAUGUAUGUUGGUUGUAGGGGCAUGGUUCCGAACAGGAGCUGAUAGGUGACUGCGGCCAUUAUGUUGACGCCUGACCCGGUGUCGCAAAGCAUCUUCUGGAAGUUGUAUCCAUUAAUGGAGCACUGGAUGCUUGGCAUACUUGGAUCGUCCUUUUUGGUUAGGAACGGUGACUUAAGUCGACGAUCUUGACCUCCUUGAACUGCAGUGACCAUCUUUGCUGACUUGGUCCACAUUUGCUUGUUCCUGUUCCUCUUGUUGGUCCUCUUCCUUGGUUCAUGUCGGGAUUGCUCUGAGAUUGGUGUAGUUUUGUUCUUGAAGGAAAACGUCUCCUUCGUCCCCUUGAUGUAGAAACUGAUCUUGGCAGAACUAGCGUGGAUGACUGCUCCCGAGGUGUUCAGGAAUGGCCUCCCUAGGAUGAUGGGUGCCCUCUCAUCAGUACCAGUCUCUAUCACCACGAAGUCUGCUGGGGCGUACAAGGUACCAACUCGGACGUAGAGGUUCUUCAAUAUUCCCUUUGGGAAACUUAGUGUCUAAUCUGCAAGCUGCAAACACAUGGUUGUUUCUAGGAAAGGAUGUGUAAAGAUUUUUUCAUAGAGUACCCUGGGCAUAAUGUUGACACUGGAGCCAAAGUCACAGAGUACUUCUAGGAAGUCCACCAUGCCAAUGGAGAUCGGGAUGACGGUGCGUCCUGGAUCGCCUCUCUUGACCGGCAGAAGGUCAGUAAUUACUUCCACGGGUUACUCCAGUAGUUAUGUCCUCAAGCAUCUCAGGGCAGUGAUUGCCUGAGUGUCCAGUCUCUCCAGUGUGUUUGUGCUCGUAGAUCUAAGUUCUUCACUUGGUGGAGUCUGGGAGUUGUGAAACUCCUUCAUAUUUUGCUCGAAGUGUACCUGCUCAUAGAGACAAGGCAGAGAUCAAGUGCAUGGGCCCUGUUGGUGGAAAACACCAACAGAACCAAAAGUGUAUUUGUUCUUCUCUAACCUUAAGCAUAGUGAGCAAGACAAAGUUGAUGGAUAAUAAGAUCAUGAGUAUAACAUUUAAAACAUUUGUCAGAUCAAAUCGCUCAACCCAAUGGAAAGAUAAUCUAUCUAUAUUUAUGUUUCUUUUAUAAAAUAUAUCUUCCAAAGAUUGAGUGUGCAACAUUUUAGUUCAUAAGAUUAGGAGUGUGGGAUCACAAAGGUGGAAGGACUAAACAUGUUGAAUCUAUUGGGUUAGUUAAUCUAGAGUUGUAAAUCAUACAUGUUUGUCUCUUUUAUUCAUGUGAACGCCAAAAAUAAGGAGAAGCUUAUAAAAGUGAUAGUCAAGUACCUUAAGAUGUUACCUUACUUGAAGAGUGAUGGUACAGUAUCACCUUGUGGAAGCUUUCCUCUCUUAGCGGUUGUGCAUCGUGUUUGUGGCACCUCCAUGGAUCAUCUCUUGUGAGCUAUGCCUUCCUUGUGUAAAUUGUUAAACUUCAUGUGUGUCUCACUUUGUCUCCAAUGUGAGUUUUGUCUCAAGACUUCCCAGGUUGAUAUUGAAAGUUUUCCUGCAGAGGUUAGUCCAACAAAAUAUCCAAUAUCUACUAUAGCAUACUAUCGGCUCAAAGAUCAACCUAGACACCAUGUCUAAUUUGAUUUAGGAGGGCAUUUUAACCUAAGCAUCAUGCUUAAUUUAAACUCCCUUGGAAGUAAGAUCAUCAGCCCUAAACUAAGCACCACGCUUAAUUAAGAGAUAAAUGAAACUACUCCAAACCUAGACAUAUACUAAAGCAAAUAGAGGUAGCAAGCAAGCAUUUAUAGAUAUCUACUCAAGUGGAGAUGAAGUAGAAUGAUUAGUGUUUAACAAAUUGAGCAUGUCUCAAAGGUAGGGAUAACCAACAUAGCAACAUGGCAAAGAAUGUUUUUAUGUAAAGUACUCCCCCAAGCUUGAAUUUUGCAAAAUUCAAGUUUGGAUGAAUUUAAUUCAAUGUUGUAUGAUGAUUGGUCGGACAUACCUUGUGCUUGUCAUUCAUCCGAUCUUCUUGCUCCAAACCUAGAAAGGUUAGUGACAAGAAUACCCGAAGGAAUAUUUUUACAAUUAUCCUUAUAUGCUCAACACACAAGGUAAUGUUGCAGAUAAUUAAAAGCUCAUGUUACGAUCUGAUCAGUGCUUGUUUUAGGACACUAAGCUUGUCCUUGGGAAACCAUCAAUUUAUGUCAGUGAAGUGGUUUCCCCUCCAACGCUGACCAAUAUCAAGAUCAACUCAACGAGAUCUGCAAAAUUUAUUAUAGACAUAUGCAUCGACAACCGCCCUUUUAAAGUUUUUAUAAAUAGAAAGGAAGUGGGGGUUGGAGAUCUCGAAUGUGGUGAUGUUGGAGAGACCAAUGGAUUGUGAAGAUGUUGCAUAUGAGCAUGGAGUAAAUGAAGUGGCUAUGAAAUAAAUUCCAUGCUCAUUAAUGCUUAGAGUGAAAUCCAUGUGGUAUGGUGAAAGUGAUAAGGUGAGUGUGGUAAAAAAGGAAAAGAAAAAUGAUACACGGACGACUUGGUUCGAAACUAGCACAGCUACCGUUCCCCGGCAACGGCGCCAGAAAGCUUGUUGGGUAUUUUAAACGCAAACAGAAAAAUCCGCAAGCGCACGGAUGCCGAUGUAGCUUUCACCCGGGAGUAUUCCAGAGUAUCGAUUUUCCACAGAGAACGUGAGUGUACUAAUUAAGAUCCAAGAUCGCCCAAGGAUAACUAUAUAAUUAUUUUUGGUGGGAAGAGAGGAAGUUUCCUGAGAGUUCUCUAGUUGAUCUAAGAAUCAAGAAUUACUUCAAGAUUAUCUAUAUCGGGACAUCAGAGCACUAACCACAGAAAGAGAUGAGAAGGGGGCUAGGAAGGUCUGACUACGGUCCUACAAACACCGAUCCGAACGUGGUGGAAUACGUCGACCGUUAGGGCUGUCACUACCCUAGGGCUACCACAACAAUCCGUAGGAUUGGGUGCAAUUCCAGGUAAUCGCAAGACUAAACACCACGUCUAAUCUAUUAAUUACUACUCUAAUGUUUCAAAGACUAGAGCACUUGAUGCAAGCGGGAAUCCAAUAAAUAACUUGAAUGUAAAUAAAAGUAAUUAGAGAACUCAGGAGUUAUGAGUUGAAGAACCUGGAGAACGAUGAAGAACGAACCAGAUGCUGCAAAAGUACAAUGUUGAGGAAGAUCCGACAGAUCCGGCUCCUCCUCCGCUCUCCUCUUCUCUCUCCCUAUUUUCUAGAUUACAACUAGAACUAACUAGAACUAGAACUAGAAGAACUAGAACUAGAACUAGAUGAACUAGAACUAGAUCUAGAUGAACUAGAGGUAGAACUAGUAGAACUAGAGGGAUCCUCUCUACUUGGAUGAAGAAUUGAAACCCUAACUUUGAUUCUGUAGAAGAGGUAUGAUCUCCAAGGGCCAGGGGGGUCUGGUUUUAUAGUCCCUUCAAAUGAAUCUUGGCCAUCGGAUCAAACCGACAUUGAUCGUGUGGUUUUCCUUGAUCCUUUAGGUCGGUGGAGCGUUGUCCGCAAAGUUGGACGUGUUUGACUACAACUCCUGGGCGGGCGCCCAAGGGGGGUGGGCGGGCGCCCUGCCCCCGGGCCCGUUCGCCUUCCCGUUCGUUCCCGUGGCUUCUGGAGUCUUCUAGAUGACGUAAAAUUGCGCGGCACGUUAAUAUCUCUAUGUCAACCCGACGUGUGGGCCUUUCUUCUAUAUUUCCUGAUAACCCCCUGCAGAAAUAGACAAACACCAAAACUUGUGUAAUUCUGUCAGAUAAAACCCUAAGUCUAGAUGUUGGUAGCAUUUGGAUCCUUUUCCAUGAUUAGUUGACGAUUAAAUGUGAGCAUUAAGGACCGUCAACACUUAGCAUUCAAGAGAAACUAUUUUAGUUUCUAUGCGAGAUUAGAGUUUACUCUUCUAUAUUGAGAGAGAUAGAGUGGAGGUGUGGAUUGGAGGAAGCCUAGCCUGUCGGUGUCUCCUCUCCGGUUUGUACCUACGGGUUCA
rnacentral:lncRNA from 1 species